rnacentral:rRNA from 1 species
GAGUUUGAUCCUGGCUCAGAUUGAACGCUGGCGGCAUGCCUUACACAUGCAAGUCGAACGGUAACGGGCCUUCGGGUGCCGACGAGUGGCGAACGGGUGAGUAAUGUAUCGGAACGUACCUUUCAGUGGGGGAUAACGUAGCGAAAGUUACGCUAAUACCGCAUAUUCUGUGCGCAGGAAAGCAGGGGAUCGCAAGACCUUGCGCUGAUUGAGCGGCCGAUAUCAGAUUAGCUAGUUGGUGAGGUAAAGGCUCACCAAGGCGACGAUCUGUAGCGGGUCUGAGAGGAUGAUCCGCCACACUGGAACUGAGACACGGUCCAGACUCCUACGGGAGGCAGCAGUGGGGAAUUUUGGACAAUGGGGGCAACCCUGAUCCAGCCAUGCCGCGUGAGUGAAGAAGGCCUUCGGGUUGUAAAGCUCUUUCGGCCGGGAAGAAAUCGUAUCAGCUAAUACCUGGUGCGGAUGACGGUACCGGCAUAAGAAGCACCGGCUAACUACGUGCCAGCAGCCGCGGUAAUCCC